UACGUAGGGUGCAAGGCGUUGUCCGGAAUUAUUGGGCGUAAAGAGCUUGUAGGCGGUUUGUCGCGUCUGCUGUGAAAUUUCGGGGCUCAACCCCGAACUUGCAGUGGGUACGGGCAGACUAGAGUGUGGUAGGGGAGACUGGAAUUCCUGGUGUAGCGGUGAAAUGCGCAGAUAUCAGGAGGAACACCGAUGGCGAAGGCAGGUCUCUGGGCCAUAACUGACGCUGAGAAGCGAAAGCAUGGGGAGCGAACAGG
rnacentral:rRNA from 1 species